rnacentral:rRNA from 1 species
AGAGUUUGAUCAUGGCUCAGAUUGAACGCUGGCGGAACGCUUUACACAUGCAAGUCGAACGGUAACGUGGGGAGGAGCUUGCUCCACCCCGACGACGAGUGGCGAACGGGUGAGUAAUACAUCGGAACGUGUCCGCUUGUGGGGGACAACCAGCCGAAAGGUUGGCUAAUACCGCAUGAGUUCUACGGAAGAAAGAGGGGGACCCGCAAGGGCCUCUCGCGAGCGGAGCGGCCGAUGACUGAUUAGCCGGUUGGUGAGGUAACGGCUCACCAAAGCAACGAUCAGUAGCUGGUCUGAGAGGACGACCAGCCACACUGGGACUGAGACACGGCCCAGACUCCUACGGGAGGCAGCAGUGGGGAAUUUUGGACAAUGGGCGCAAGCCUGAUCCAGCUAUUCCGCGUGUGGGAUGAAGGCCCUCGGGUUGUAAACCACUUUUGUAGAGAACGAAAAGACACCAUCGAAUAAAUGGUGUUGCUGACGGUACUCUAAGAAUAAGC